AGAUGAGGAGUUAAUGGAUACUAACUUCCUGCAGAUGAAACAGCAGCCUCAUCAAUAAGGAAGACAUAUUGAUUAGCCAUCUGCCAGACUGUCUCACAACACUAGCACAUACAUUACCUAACCCAACCACCACAUGAUGUCAUCCCUCUGGUAUGCCUUUGCUUUUACAAAAAUUUUCAGGAGUAUAUUGUAUUUCUAAUUUGUCCUCUGUGUCCAAGGUGUGUGUCUGAGGCUCUUCUGAUCUCCCUGUUCAAAGGAUUGAAUAUGUUCUUGCCACAAUAAUCUUGGCACAGUAAUAAUGUCAAGUGAAAUGUAUGCGCUCAUAAUAAUACAGAUUUGAUAAAAGGUGCUGUACUUUGGAGAAUUUCAGUUUGACCUAGAAUACUUUUACAAUAAAAUGAGCUAUACUUAUUAAAAGUAGGAGAGGUAAAACAACUGAAUAAUAUGCAUUCCUUAUUGAAAUGUAGAAUAUAUUGCAUAAUUCCACAGUGCACAUACUGCUAAUUAAGGACUUCUUAGCCAUAGUGGUAGUUUAUCUCAGCAGGUUUUGGCAGUCUGAACAGCUGACAGUUGCUUUGUGCCAAAUGCACAUGUCUGGGUAUUCACAUGAAGUGGUCUUUGUUUGUUGUGAGUGGAUUUAACAGAGUCUGUUUGGUUUUUGUCCUCAGCUUAUUCCUCGUGGCUGUUUGGAGUUAUUCCUCAGGGUUUGUCUUUUCAGUUGGAGCAUCUUUUAUGGAACAGAGAGGGGAGCUGAAUGGAGAACACUGACUGAUAGAUAACUCCUGUCAGAAGAGCUGGAUGCCUGAGGUAUGAACUCAUGCAGUCUAACGUGACUGACAACACCUCCAAGCCAGUACACUUCACCUAAACUCACAACAUGCAUUAGAUUCAAUAUUUUUGAAACUCACUUCUACUGUAAAGGUUGGGAUUCAAUCUUACACUUUAGAUACAUUCAUAACUCUCUCACUGAGAUGUAUUCAACUGUGUAUGAGAACAUUGUUGGGCAACACAACACCACUGUUGCACUGACAGGGUGGACACGAACACACUGAACAUAAUAGAACUGCUGACUAAGGAACACUUACUGUGUAGAAAGACACUACUACCAGCCUUCAGCAUCCUCUGAGUUUCACACUGAACUUCCCAAAACUGCACCUAAAUGAUCUUAUCUUAGAGUAAGAGGGGGAAGAGAGGGGCGUAGAGAUGUAUUGCAGAAGUUUAGUUGGCCUCUGGUUCAACUUGAAGGUGGAGCUCAAAGCUUCCGGAAUGACCAUGAGGAGAUUGUGGAAGCUGGAGUAGAGACCAUGGGCCUGUCCAGACACCUCAUAAAAUGUAGACGAACAAUAUUGAUCUAUACGGUUAACAACAGAGGGUCAGAUAAAACACCCCAUCAAGAUGGCAUUUAACAGGCAACCUAAACCCAUGGUUUGAGAA
rnacentral:lncRNA from 1 species